rnacentral:rRNA from 1 species
UUCUUUGCCUGGAGGCUAUGUCCAUACAGCUUCAAGUAAAUAGGAUGGUAGAGGCUGAUACUAACGGUGGAACACACAGCUUCAUACGAUUGUAAACGCUAGACCUUACCAUUCUA